UUCGUCUAUUUUAACCUAAUUUUUUGUAUUCGUUUAAGAUUGGAGAUGAAGGAAGCAGAAAAAUCCAAAAAAACAAGCCGAAAAAGCUAGGAACGAAGAAGUGUAAGGAAAAUUAUGAAAAAGAAGAUGAAAUUGUGUAAAAACGGAAGAAAAACACAUAUCACAUUCAGAAGAUCGCGAAGAAUCUUAUAGAAAAUUCAAAUGUCGGAAAUGAGAUCAAACGCGCCCAAACAACAGAGUUAUAUCGCACUGGUAGUUCUAUUGCCGAACAAGCACUUGUGAAUGACGUCCUUGUAAAUGUUGGUUUGAGCAAAUGAAGAGAUUGAGGCUUGAGUAUUGUGGCGAGAUAUUGGCACACAAGAAAAAUGAUGAACAUCAUGUUAUGGUUCCGAGUUAAGGAAAUGGGAAACAAAGAAUCAAAUUUAACGGGAUCAUAAUGUCUUUGUAACAUCAAAUGUUGAAUUUCUUGUAAAUACUUUAUGUUGAAUUCGUAAAAUUAGUAAACCAUCAAUUUAUAUUGGAUGGUUUUGAUCAACUUGUAAUAGAUUCAUUUGCUUGAAGUUUAAUUUGACUAAUAGACUUGUAAUGUGAUA